rnacentral:rRNA from 1 species
AGUAGUAUGCUUAACACAUGCGAGUUGAACGAAAAUUUCUUUUCGUGGCGAACGGGUGAGUAGUACAUAGGAAUCUGCUUUUUAGUUCAGGAUAAAAUCCUGAAUAAAAAAAAGAUAUUAUUUCGCUAAAAAAUGAGCCUAUGCAGGAUUAGGUAGUUGGUGUGGGUAAAAGCCUACCAAGCCGAUGAUCCUUAGCUGUUCUGAGAGGUCGGCCAGCCACACUGGGACUGAGACAAGGCCCAGGCUUUCAUUGAAGCCAGCAGUGAGGAAUCUUGGACAAUGAGCGAAAGCUUGAUCCAGCAAUAUUACAUGAGAGAAGAAGGCUUUUUGGUUGUAAAUUUCUUUGACUGAAGAGGAAAAUGACAGUAUUCAGUUGAAUAGCCCCGGCUAACUUCGUGCCAGCAGCCGCGGUAAGACGAAGGGGGCGAGCGUUAUCCGGAAUGACUGGGCGUAAAGGGUUCGUAGAUGGUCUUUUUUGUGAAAGGUAAAAUGUGGGAGCUUAACUCCCUUAUGCUUUUUAAACGUUAAGACUUUGAGUAGGAGAGGGGAUAGCAGAAUUUCACAUGGAGGGGUGAUAUCCGGAGAAAUGUGAAGGAAUCCCAGAGGCGAAGGCGGCUAUCUAGAUCCAAACGGACGUUGAGGAACGAAAGCAUGGGGAUCAAACAGGAUUAGAUACCCUGGUAGUCCAUGCCCUAAAAGAUGAGUGUUUGUGUUUAGAGAUUUUCUAGACGCCAAGUUAACACCUUAAACACUCCGCCUGGGGAGUACGACCGCAAGGUUGGAACUCAAAGGAAUUGGCGGGGGCCUAUACAAGUGGUGGAGCAUGUGGUUUAAUGCGAUAAUACGCGCGAAACCUUACCAGCUUUUGUAUGACGAACAAAACCUUUUGAGAAAAAGGAUAGAGUUCCCACAGGUGCUGCAUGGCUGUCGUCAGCCCGUGUCGUAAGAUGUUAGGUUAACUCCUUUUAACGGGCGAAACCCCUUUUUUUAGUUGCUAUGUUCAAAUAAUUGAAAGGCACUCUAAAAAAACUGCUUCUACUUUUUAAAGUUUAGAAGAGGAAGGUGGGGAUGACGUCAAGUCUUUAUGGCCCUUAUGAGCUGGGCUACACACGUGCUACAAUGGUAAUGACAACGAGAAGCAAGAGGGCAACCUGGAGCCAAUCUUAAAAAAUUACCAAUGUUCAGAUUGGGGGCUGAAACUCGCCCCCAUGAAGGUGGAAUCACUAGUAAUCGCAAAUCAGAACGUUGCGGUGAAUUUGUACCUAGGCCUUGUACACACCGCCCGUCACGUGCCGGGAGUCGAUCUGGCUAGAAAAAUGUUACUAAACCUUUUUCUUCAAAAAAUUUUCUCUUU